ACGCACGCUGGCGGCGUGCUUCACACAUGCCAGUCGAACGGUGAAGGGGUCUGCUUUUGUGGGCCCUGGAUGAGUGGCGAACGGGUGAGUAACACGUGAGUAACCUGCCCCCUUCUUCUGGAUAACCGCAUGAAAGUGUGGCUAAUACGGGAUAUUCUGGGUCUGUCGCAUGAUGGGUCUGGGAAAGAUUGCGCCUUUGGGUGUUUUUGGUGGGGGAUGGGCUCGCGGCCUAUCAGCUUGUUGGUGGGGUGAUGGCCUACCAAGGCGGUGACGGGUAGCCGGCCUGAGAGGGUGGACGGUCACACUGGGACUGAGACACGGCCCAGACUCCUACGGGAGGCAGCAGUGGGGAAUAUUGCACAAUGGGCGCAAGCCUGAUGCAGCGACGCCGCGUGAGGGAUGGAGGCCUUCGGGUUGUAAACCUCUUUCGCCAGUGAAGCAGGCCUGCUCCUUGUGGGUGGGUUGACGGUAGCUGGAUAAGAAGCGCCGGCUAACUACGUG
rnacentral:rRNA from 1 species